GAUGAAGAACGCAGCGAAAUGCGAUACGUAAUGUGAAUUGCAAAUUCAGUGAAUCAUCGAGUCUUUGAACGCACAUUGCGCCCCCUGGUAUUCCGGGGGGCACGCCUGUCCGAGCGUCAUUGCUGCCCUCAAGCACGGCUUGUGUGUUGGGCCCCGUCCUCCGAUCCCGGGGGACGGGCCCGAAAGGCAGCGGCGGCACCGCGUCCGGUCCUCGAGCGUAUGGGGCUUUGUCACCCGCUCUGUAGGCCCGGCCGGCGCUUGCCGAUCAACCCAAAUUUUUAUCCAGGUUGACCUCGGAUCAGGUAGGGAUACCCGCUGAACUUAAGCAUAUCAAUAAGCGGAGGA
rnacentral:misc_RNA from 1 species